rnacentral:rRNA from 1 species
UCAGCAGCCGCGGUAAUACGUAGGGUGCGAGCGUUAAUCGGAAUUACUGGGCGUAAAGCGUGCGCAGGCGGUUGUGCAAGACAGAUGUGAAAUCCCCGGGCUUAACCUGGGAACUGCAUUUGUGACUGCACGGCUAGAGUGUGUCAGAGGGGGGUAGAAUUCCACGUGUAGCAGUGAAAUGCGUAGAUAUGUGGAGGAAUACCGAUGGCGAAGGCAGCCCCCUGGGAUAACACUGACGCUCAUGCACGAAAGCGUGGGGAGCAAACAGGAUUAGAUACCCUGGUAGUCCACGCCCUAAACGAUGUCAACUAGUUGUCGGGUCUUAAUUGACUUGGUAACGCAGCUAACGCGUGAAGUUGACCGCCUGGGGAGUACGGUCGCAAGAUUAAAACUUAAAGGAAUUGGCGGGGGA